rnacentral:rRNA from 1 species
UACCCGCAGCACAAGUGGUGGUCAUUAUUAUUGGGCCUAAAGCAUCCGUAGCCGGUCAUGCAAGUCUUCCGUUAAAUCCAGCCGCUCAACGGUUGGGCUGCGGAGGAUACUACGUGGCUAGGAGGCGGGAGAGGCAAGCGGUACUCAGUGGGUAGGGGUAAAAUCCUUUGAUCCAUUGAAGACCACCAGUGGCGAAGGCGGCUUGCCAGAACGCGCUCGACGGUGAGGGAUGAAAGCUGGGGGAGCAAACCGG